UACGAAGGGGGCAAGCGUUGUUCGGAAUUACUGGGCGUAAAGGGCGCGUAGGCGGUGCUCUAAGUCAGGCGUGAAAAGCCCUGGGCUCAACCCGGGAAUUGCGCUUGAUACUGGGGCGCUUGAAUCCAGGAGAGGUUGGUGGAAUUCCCAGUGUAGAGGUGAAAUUCGUAGAUAUCGGAAGGAACACCAGUGGCGAAAGCGGCUUCCUGGUCCAGCACCGACGUUCAGGCACGAAAGCGUGGGGAGCAAACAGG
rnacentral:rRNA from 1 species